UGAGCAAUCUGCCCUUCUCUUCGGAAUAAGCGUUGGAAACGACGUCUAAUGCCGAAUACGACCUCCUUUCGCAUGAUCGGAGGUGGAAAGCUCCGGCGGAGAAGGAUGAGCUCGCGGCCUAUCAGCUAGUUGGUGUGGGUAAUGGCCCACCAAGGCGACGACGGGUAGCCGGCCUGAGAGGGCGACCGGCCACACUGGGACUGAGACACGGCCCAGACUCCUACGGGAGGNAG
rnacentral:rRNA from 1 species